AUUGAACGCUGGCGGCAUGCCUUACACAUGCAAGUCGAGCGGCAGCGCGGGGCAACCCUCGGCGGCGAGCGGCGGACGGGUGAGUAAUGCAUCGGAACGUGUCCUCUUGUGGGGGAGUAACCAGUCGAAAGACUGGCUAAUACCGCAUGAGCUCGUAAGAGGAAAGCAGGGGACCCGCAAGGGCCUUGCGCGAGAGGAGCGGCCGAUGCCCGAUUAGCAGUUGGCGGGGU
rnacentral:rRNA from 1 species